UCUGCAACUCGACUACAUGAAGCCGGAAUCGCUAGUAAUCGCGGAUCAGAAUGCCGCGGUGAAUACGUUCCCGGGUCUUGUACACACCGCCCGUCACACCAUGGGAGCCGGAAAUGCCCGAAGUCAGUGACCCAACCGCGAGGAGGGAGCUGCCGAAGGCAGGUCUGGUAACUGGGGUGAAGUCGUAACAAGGUAGC
rnacentral:rRNA from 1 species